rnacentral:rRNA from 1 species
CAGUCGCCACGGUAAUGCGUAGGUGGCAAGCGUUGUCCGGAAUUAUUGGGCGUAAAGGGCUCGCAGGCGGUUUCUUAAGUCUGAUGUGAAAGCCCCCGGCUCAACCGGGGAGGGUCAUUGGAAACUGGGAAACUUGAGUGCAGAAGAGGAGAGUGGAAUUCCACGUGUAGCGGUGAAAUGCGUAGAGAUGUGGAGGAACACCAGUGGCGAAGGCGACUCUCUGGUCUGUAACUGACGCUGAGGAGCGAAAGCGUGGGGAGCAAAUGGGAUUAGAUACCCGCGUAGUCCCUGUCUCUUAUAC